GAGAUGUGGGUAGUCCGCACGAGCGCACCUCACUUUUAGUUGCCAUCAUUAAGUUGGGCACUCUGAAAGAACUGCCAGUGAUAAGCUGGAGGAAGGUGGGGAUGACGUCAAGUCCUCAUGGCCCUUACGUGUUGGGCUACACACGUGCUACAAUGGUAUCUACAACAGGAUGCAAAACAGCGAUGUUAAGCAAAUCCCGAAAAGAUACCUCAGUUCGGAUUGCACUCUGCAACUCGAGUGCAUGAAGCUGGAAUUACUAGUAAUCGUAGAUCAGCGUGCUACGGUGAAUACGUUCCCGGGUCUUGUACACACCGCCCGUCACACCAUGGGAGUUGGUUCUACCUUAAGGCAAGGUUUAAUACCCUUGACCACGGUAUAGUCAGCGACUGGGGUGAAGUCGUAACAAGGUAGCCGUAGGGGAACCUGCGGCUGGAUUACCUCCUUUCU
rnacentral:rRNA from 1 species